CAAGUCGAACGAAUCCCGGGUAGCAAUAUCCGGGGGAAGUGGCGAAAGGGGCAGUAAGGCGUGGGUAACCUACCCCGGGGACCGGGAUAGCCACCCUAACGGGUGGGUAAUACCGGGCGAUGUAGCAGGGGCGCAUGACCCGGCUACGAAAUGAAUUUCGCCUCGGGAGGGGCUCACGUGGUAUUAGCUAGACGGCGGGGUAACGGCCCACCGUGGCUGAGAUGCCUAGCGGGUGUGAGAGCACGACCCACGCCACUGGCACUGCGACACUGGCCAGACUCCUACGGGAGGCUGCAGUCGAGGAUCUUCGGCAAUGGGCGCAAGCCUGACCGAGCGACGCCGCGUGUGCGAUGAAGGCCUUCGGGUUGUAAAGCACUGUCGAGGGGGAGGAAAGCCCGCAAGGGUCUGACCUAUCCCUGGAGGAAGCACGGGCUAAGUUCGUGCCAGCAGCCGCGGUAAGACGAACCGUGCGAACGUUGUUCGGAAUCACUGGGCUUAAAGGGCGCGUAGGCGGGCGGUCUCGUCGGGGGUGAAAUCCUGCCGCUCAACGGCAGAACUGCCCCCGAUACGGGCCGUCUCGAGGGAGGUAGGGGCCUGCGGAACUUCCGGUGGAGCGGUGAAAUGCGUAGAUAUCGGAAGGAACGCCGGUGGCGAAAGCGGCGGGCUGGACCUCUUCUGACGCUGAGGCGCGAAAGCCAGGGGAGCGAACGGGAUUAGAUACCCCGGUAGUCCUGGCCCUAAACGAUGGGCACUAGAUUGUGGGCUUACAUGGGCUCACAGUCGAA
rnacentral:rRNA from 1 species